GUAGUAUUCCGUCCAUCCCAAAAUUCUUGUCUUACAUUUGUUUAGAUACGGAUGUAUCUAACACUAAAAUGUAACUAGAUCCAUCCGUAUUUAGAAAAAUUUAAGAAAAGAAUUUUGGGACGGAGGGAGUACAAA
rfam:Triticum aestivum genome assembly, contig: Triticum_aestivum_CS42_TGACv1_scaffold_224758_3B